rnacentral:rRNA from 1 species
GACGAACGCUGGCGGCGUGCUUAACACAUGCAAGUCGAACGGAAAGGCCUCUUUCGGGGGGUACUCGAGUGGCGAACGGGUGAGUAACACGUGAGUAACCUGCCCUUGACUUUGGGAUAACUUCAGGAAACUGGGGCUAAUACCAGAUAGGAGCUCCUGCUGCAUGGUGGGGGUUGGAAAGUUUCGGCGGUUGGGGAUGGACUCGCGGCUUAUCAGCUUGUUGGUGGGGUAGUGGCUUACCAAGGCUUUGACGGGUAGCCGGCCUGAGAGGGUGACCGGCCACAUUGGGACUGAGAUACGGCCCAGACUCCUACGGGAGGCAGCAGUGGGGAAUAUUGCACAAUGGGUGGAAGCCUGAUGCAGCAACGCCGUGUGCGGGAUGACGGCCUUCGGGUUGUAAACCGCUUUCGCUCAUGACGAAGCUUUGUGUGACGGUAGUGGGUAAAGAAGCACCGGCUAACUACGUGC